rnacentral:lncRNA from 1 species
UAAGAGGGCUAUCACAAAUUUUCGAGUUUUAUACGAGUUUUGAUGCGUCAUUAUGCUUUGGAUAUAGUCACAAAAAAAAAACAAAAAUAAGAUUAAGAAAGUUUGAUCAUUUAUCUUGGGUCUGUUUUCAAUAAAUAUUUUAAUUUGUCCACGUACAUCAGUAAAAUCUUUGUCUCUGCAAAGGAUGUUUCAUAAAAUGUUGCUUUUGGGCAUCUUUUGAUGCUUCAGUACUACGAGGAUAUAGCAAUUUAACCAUUUAUAAAAAUGUUCAAGAUACAACUAUAUCUUGUACUUGUGCUUGCUUACACCAAUUUAUUACAAUUCAUACAGUAAUACACCAAAAAUAAUUCUAUAAAACUGAGAGUUACUGACAAUUUUCCGUACAAAACUAUAUUUUUUAUCUAUGAAAGUAUAAUCCUAAUUCAAAUAAAAAAUAUUUAAUAAUUAAGGUGGUAUUGUUAUAAAGCUUGAAAAAAAAAAUGGCCUAUUUAAAAGUAAAACAAUAUUUUUAAAUAAUUUUUGUUUGCAAUGCAAAGAAUCAAUAUAAAUCUUGUGACGCGCGGUGUUCAACUUUAGUCAGCGCCAAGCGCUUACCGAGGAGGGACGUAUCGCUCGCUGUUGCGCCGCGUAAACUCGCCGGAGUUCGAAAAAUAUAGCGCAACCUACGCAUCUAACACGUUUUGAUACUAGAUAAUGAAAGCAUAUUUAAUUCAGAUUAUCAGACUCAAUCGGAUACCAGUACAAAUAUGGAAAAUGAAGAUACAAUACAUGGAUGACGAAUUAUAGAUUUUAGUUUUUUUAUAAAUCAAUUACUUAUACCUAAUUGAAAAUUGUGAAAAGUUUGGUUGUCGAUUAAAUAAUUUGAAAAUUGCAAACGAUUUUGUUUAUU